rnacentral:misc_RNA from 1 species
ACAAACUUGGUCAUUUAGAGGAAGUAAAAGUCGUAACAAGGUCUCCGUUGGUGAACCAGCGGAGGGAUCAUUACCGGGGUCUCGGGUGACUCCAUAAACCAAACCGUGCUCUUUUGGGAGAGGAUGCCUCGCGCGGACUCUUUCCUUUCUUGCUGAGGCGGGCCGCCUGCUGGGGGGGCCCGAGGCCGGACGGGGGGCUUUGCCCGUGUCCGGUGGCUCGCCAAAGCACUCAACUAUUUUCCUUCUGGAAAGCCUAACGCUCCGGCGUCAGAAUCGUAUCUGAGAAUGCCACUGAACCGCUACGGCGGGGAAGGUGCGCAAUUAUAAAAAAAAAUUACAACCUACAACAAUGGAUCUCUUGGCUCUGGCAUCGAUGAAGAACGCAGC